rnacentral:rRNA from 1 species
AGGGCACCACCAGGAGUGGAGCCUGCGGCUUAAUUUGACUCAACACGGGAAAACUCACCCGGCCCGGACACUGGAAGGAUUGACAGAUUGAGAGCUCUUUCUUGAUUCAGUGGGUGGUGGUGCAUGGCCGUUCUUAGUUGGUGGAGUGAUUUGUCUGGUUAAUUCCGAUAACGAACGAGACUCUGGCCUACUAAAUAGAUCGUCGGCUUACAAACGCCGGCGAGACUUCUUAGAGGGACAGGCGGUGAUUCAACCGCACGAAACAGAGCAAUAACAGGUCUGUGAUGCCCUUAGAUGUCCGGGGCCGCACGCGCGCUACACUGAAGUGAUCAGCGUGCUUUUUCAACCUACUCUGUCAAGAGUGGGGAACCCAAUGAACCUUCUUCGUGAUUGGGAUAGGGGAUUGUAAUUAUUCCCCUUGAACGAGGAAUUCCCAGUAAGCGCGAGUCAUAAGCUCGCGUUGAUUACGUCCCUGCCCUUUGUACACACCGCCCGUCGCUACUACCGAUUGAAUGUUUU